GCUCCCCAGCGGCCGGCGUCCCCCCAGCAGGCCUACGUGGCUCCCCAGCGGCCGGCGUCCCCCCAGCAGGCCUACGUGGCUCCCCAGCGGCAGACCUAUGCAGCUCCCAAACAGCAGUCUGCAUCUCCUAAAUCUGAGAUUAUCAGAGUUAAAGCAGACAGCAAAUGGUUCAGGCCAAAUCUGCAGAAGUCAGGUGCAGUGAGUGUCCUGGAAUGAAUGAUUCUUAAUGUUUUUGAAAUAAAAAGUCUUAAUUUAAA